GGCCUUCCGAGUUCAUCAGAUUCCACCUCUCUGGUUAUGCAUUCCCGAUUCGGGAUUACUUUUCACAUGGAAAACGAGAGCCUUUUGCAGAAGAUCGAGAUUGCUCGCGUUUCGUCACCGUGAAUGACAUAAUUUCCCUCUGUGCGGAGACCCAGCCCGGAGAGUCCGGUCCGCGUUUGCAGUUGGAGUGCUUCGGUCCACGGCCGUAGGGCUCGUUUUCAGCCUCCCGCCGACCUCGGAGGGGUUCCUUUGUUUUGACUGUGAGAGUGUGGCCCCGGCAGGGCCGGCAGGCCGCCGGCGGCGGUGAGGUUCUAGACCACGACUCGGAUCACGACUAGGCAGAAGCCUCCUGCGGUCCGGGCAGCGUGAGGCUCGGGCGCCCGGGUCCCCUCGGUGUGUAAACAGGUCCUGGCCCGGCCGCCGCACCCUGGUUCCCAGCGCCCGGCGCUGGUGGCUGUGGGGGCUUUAAUUUAACGUGCCUGGAGGGUCAGGCGUGCACCCAACAAGCUGGUCCUCUACCACCCGUAUUGUGGAGAAAAACCCACCACACCAUCUUUCUAGUUUUCACCUAGUGGUCGAUCCUGCAGUGGAAAUAGGUCAGACUCUGAGUGAAAAAGACAGCUGGUUCCAGCCAAUAACUCUUUGUUCAAGUGUUGUUUUGGAAAUCACCAAGCUGAACGUCGUUACGCGAAGCGCCACCUCCUCGCUGUCCAGCUCCCGCGGACGCCUUACUGGAUCGCGAAGUCAGUCCACACGGCAGACGGAAGGCCGCUUUCGCGGAAAGGCAGCGCGCUGCAAGGCCUGAGACCCGGCGCAGCACGCCACGCACGCCUCUCCUCCGCACACCUCCCACCCGAGCGGCCGACCCGCUCGCCGUCCGGAGAUCCCGAAGGCGCGCUUAAGGCUGUUGGUCCCCCACCCCCAACGUGAAUUGCCCCCCUUCCUCCUCACCCCCUUUCUGCUUUAGAUUGGGUGACUGCUAGCUCGCUUUCGGAUUUUCUCCCAGACACGUCCCUCGCCUCUAUUUGGGGGCUGCUCUGAUUGCUCCUUUGUUACCAGGCUGCAGUGGAGCUUUCCCCCUUUUCUUUCUCGAACGCCUAUUUGGCGGUAUCGGCGCGUCUCCCAGGCAACGGCCAGGGCUGCGGGAGCC
rnacentral:lncRNA from 1 species